rnacentral:sRNA from 1 species
UGAAACGUUCCAGAUCACUGCAGUCCUUGAGCUGGAGUUCACAAACUCUAUGCCCGCACAGUUCGCUUACGAUCUACCCUGGCGGCUAUUGUUGGUAGGCCCUGAUACGCGGCUGGAGCGAGGCUACACCAUGGAAGAUUUUGUGGCUCAGUAUACACCUAGAUUGAAACAGUUUCUAUACGCCCUUGAGCAGAUAGAAGCUGAGAAGUGUAGGACAAAGUCCAAUGUGCAGCGCAUUUCCAAGUUAAUGCGCAACUCUUGGACGAGCGGAGAGUUCUGGUUCAAUUCCGCAGCUAGAAAGAGCUUGGAUGUGGAUGCCAUCUUCUAUCACCAGUUAGACAUGAUUUGUUAUGGGGGUAAACUUAAUGUCUACUUGCUUGACGGCAAGGUACGAGGAGGCUUAGAGUCAUUUACGGAUGAAGAUGG